GCUUACACAUGCAGUCGAACGAUGAACCACCUUCGGGUGGGGAUUAGUGGCGAACGGGUGAGUAACACGUGGGCAAUCUGCCCUUCACUCUGGGACAAGCCCUGGAAACGGGGUCUAAUACCGGAUACUGACCUGCCAAGGCAUCUUGGCGGGUCGAAAGCUCCGGCGGUGAAGGAUGAGCCCGCGGCCUAUCAGCUUGUUGGUGAGGUAAUGGCUCACCAAGGCGACGACGGGUAGCCGGCCUGAGAGGGCGACCGGCCACACUGGGACUGAGACACGGCCCAGACUCCUACGGGAGGCAGCAGUGGGGAAUAUUGCACAAUGGGCGAAAGCCUGAUGCAGCGACGCCGCGUGAGGGAUGACGGCCUUCGGGUUGUAAACCUCUUUCAGCAGGGAAGAAGCGAAAGUGACGGUACCUGCAGAAGAAGCGCCGGCUAACUACGUGCCAGCAGCCGCGGUAAUACGUAGGGCGCAAGCGUUGUCCGGAAUUAUUGGGCGUAAAGAGCUCGUAGGCGGCUUGUCACGUCGGUUGUGAAAGCCCGGGGCUUAACCCCGGGUCUGCAGUCGAUACGGGCAGGCUAGAGUUCGGUAGGGGAGAUCGGAAUUCCUGGUGUAGCGGUGAAAUGCGCAGAUAUCAGGAGGAACACCGGUGGCGAAGGCGGAUCUCUGGGCCGAUACUGACGCUGAGGAGCGAAAGCGUGGGGAGCGAACAGGAUUAGAUACCCUGGUAGUCCACGCCGUAAACGGUGGGCACUAGGUGUGGGCAACAUUCCACGUUGUCCGUGCCGCA
rnacentral:rRNA from 1 species